CACGGCAACAAACCACAACGAAGUUAACUUGCGGCUGAAUUUGAGAGAGCAUCAUGUCAAACUGAAGUUCAUUUACAGGGUGGUGAUUUUGCUCCAGAACACUUCCAAAAUGAAUGCGGGUCAGAUUCCUAACAAGGCGUCUCUGCUUUGCAAUGCUAAACUUGUUGUAACAGAAGACAAGCCAAGGCGGGUGACUCCGUCGGUUUUCACCCAGGAGAUGCUGCAAUCCACAGAGGAGCGGCUGGCUAACACCGCUGAGGUGCACCAGCCUCGUAUCCAGGAGUUUCUUGGCAUGGACACAACUACGUAUCACAGUGUAAAGACCUGCUGAUGUUGCGAUAUCUCAGUAGCUUCAUAGACGACUUCUAAUGGGAGAGCAACCAGCAGAAAUGGCUGCAAAUGCUGCAGCGAUCGUUAAAGCUGAUAGUUGGCACUGAUAGCUGCAAUUCUAUGAUGUAAAACACCAGCAAUGACAGUGACAGUAAAAGAUAAAAGGGGGACAGGCGUUUGCUGUUACCACUGUUGUCUUCAGACUGGCUUCAGCUGCUGACUUUCAUCUUUUUGAGAAUAAAACCCAGGGGAGUUUAGUAUAGAAUUUGCGUAGAAAAGAAUACAUUGAAAUUUGCAUUUGCUUAUGACAGGCUGUCAAAGCGCUUCCUUUUAGAGCAUUUGUAUACUCACACUGUAACCUCUACUCUUAAUUUAUCAGUUGGCCACAAUGUGAGCUGCUAUGUAGAUAAAUAAAAAGCAACAGAAAAAGCAGUAGGCCUCUUCGAAGGGAAACUAAUUGAAACCAGAAGGGGAAAAAAAAACAAUUUUCUCAUUAUUUCAUCAUUAAUCCCCUGAAUACUGAGC
ensembl:lncRNA